rnacentral:rRNA from 1 species
GACGAACGCUGGCGGCGUGCUUAACACAUGCAAGUCGAACGGAGAAUUUAUUUCGGUAAAUUCUUAGUGGCGAACGGGUGAGUAACGCGUGGGCAACCUGCCCUUCAGAUGGGGACAACAUCCCGCACGGGGUGCUAAUACCGAAUACGAUCACGCUGCCGCAUGGCGGGGUGAUGAAAGCUGGACCAUAUUUAUAAGCUACCGCUGAAGGUUGGUACUGCGUCUGAUUAGAUAGUUGGUGGGGUAACGGCCUACCAAGGCGAUGAUCAGUAGCCGGUCUGAGAGGAUGAACGGCCACAUUGGGACUGAGACACGGCCCAAACUCCUACGGGAGGCAGCAGUGGGGAAUAUUCCGCAAUGGACGAAAGUCUGACGGAGCAACGCCGCGUGAGUGAUGAAGGUUUUCGGACUGUAAAACUCUGUUGUUUAGGACGAAAGUGCCUGUUGCAAAUAGUUGCAGGUAUUGACGGUACUGAACGAGGAAGCCACGGCUAACUACGUGCCAGCCGCCGCGGUAA